rfam:Clostridium sp. IEH 97212 scaffold_2, whole genome shotgun sequence.
AUAAAAACGUUGAAAAAGGAAAGUAGCAUAAUCAGUCUUUUCAGAGAGGAAAUUAUUUUGCUGGAAGAUUUCUAAAGAAGGUUUAUGUGAAGUGCCCUUUGGAGUUGUGUACCGAAUAUAGUAGGCUACAUCGGGUUCACCCGUUAUAGUGAUAGGGUAUAAAUUUAUUAGUACCUGAAUAAAGUGAGAUUUUAAUAUCUAACUAGAGUGGAACCACGGAGAAUAUACUUCGUCUCUAUA